UGGGAUAACCUGUAAAGCUCAGGAGGGAUAGCGCCAUCUCAAAUAAAAACCUAUAUAUGGCGCUAUCUAUCCUGAGUUUCAUGGGUUCUUCCU
rfam:Gossypium raimondii Chr03_contig_952, whole genome shotgun sequence.